rnacentral:piRNA from 1 species
UGUUAAAACUGAAAGCAGUGGCCUCUUUUCU